AGUGAACGCUGGCGGUAGGCCUAACACAUGCAAGUCGAACGGCAGCACAGGAGAGCUUGCUCUCUGGGUGGCGAGUGGCGGACGGGUGAGGAAUACAUCGGAAUCUACUCUGUCGUGGGGGAUAACGUAGGGAAACUUACGCUAAUACCGCAUACGACCUACGGGUGAAAGCAGGGGACCUUCGUGCCUUGCGCGAUUGAAUGAGCCGAUGUCGGAUUAGCUAGUUGGCGGGGUAAAGGCCCACCAAGGCGACGAUCCGUAGCUGGUCUGAGAGGAUGAGCAGCCAAACUGGAACUGAGACACGGUCCAGACUCCUACGGGAGGCAGCAGUGGGGAAUAUUGGACAAUGGGCGCAAGCCUGAUCCAGCCAUACCGCGUGGGUGAAGAAGGCCUUAGGGUUGUAAAGCCCUUUUGUUGGGAAAGAAAUCCAGCUGGCUAAUACCCGGUUGGGAUGACGGUACCCAAAGAAUAAGCACCGGCUAACUUCGUGCCAGCCGCCGCCGUAAGAC
rnacentral:rRNA from 1 species